rnacentral:rRNA from 1 species
GACGAACGCUGGCGGCGUGCUUAACACAUGCAAGUCGAACGGAAAGGCCCUGCUUUUGUGGGGUGCUCGAGUGGCGAACGGGUGAGUAACACGUGAGUAACCUGCCCUUGACUUUGGGAUAACUUCAGGAAACUGGGGCUAAUACCGGAUAGGAGCUCCUGCUGCAUGGUGGGGGUUGGAAAGUUUCGGCGGUUGGGGAUGGACUCGCGGCUUAUCAGCUUGUUGGUGGGGUAGUGGCUUACCAAGGCUUUGACGGGUAGCCGGCCUGAGAGGGUGACCGGCCACAUUGGGACUGAGAUACGGCCCAGACUCCUACGGGAGGCAGCAGUGGGGACUAUUGCACAAUGGGCGGAAGCCUGAUGCAGCAACGCCGCGUGCGGGAUGACGGCCUUCGGGUUGUAAACCGCUUUCGCCUGUGACGAAGCGUGAGUGACGGUAAUGGGUAAAGAAGCACCGGCUAACUACGUG